UAUACAGCCAGCCCAGGAAUCCUCUUACC
rnacentral:piRNA from 1 species